UCGUAUGUCAUGUUCUCAGCCACUUAAAGAUUGUUAUUAUUUGUUCUCUAGGGAGGGUGAGAGGUAAGCAAACCUUCCUUGUUCUACCUAAAGACUCUGUUCUUGCCUGGACAGCUAAGAAGGCUCAGGGGAUACUCAUGCUGUGUGUUACCACCUUCAGGUAGUACAGUGUCUUGAGGAAAGGAUGACUUUCCUUGGUGUGCAUGGGGACACUGUGGCGAUUAGCAGCUAUGUUGCUCCAGGAAAAAAAUUAAUUUAUUCAAAGAAUAAUAAGAAGGAAAACAUUCCUUACACACUGCCAUUCUCCUUCCCUGGUUGAAGCCUUUCAAACUAUGAUUUACUGAGAAUUUUCUACACAGCACAGAAAGAAAUUUCCACAGAGGAAGCCCUCAGUAAUAUGGCAAACACCUGCAAUGCCCAGGCAUGUGAGUGACUAAGCCAUUAAGGUGUGUUUCAAAUCCAAUCUUCAACCAGGAACUUGACACUCCCUGUAGGCUUUCAAAUCUGCUAGGUCAUCAUCCCCCUCCAGUCUGCUACAGUCAUGUUCAUCAAGGAGCUGGAA